CCUACCGUUGCAGAUCAGAAAUCAGAAAGAAGAAACGUAGAGAACCAAGGAACACCUUCCUCGAUCUCUCCCUCUCUAUGAUAACCUCUGUCAUGUCCGGCUCACUCUUCCUGUGUCCCUCUUAAUCUCUUCGUAGAUCUCUCUCUCCAGAUCUCCCUUUCUAUCUAUUUCCCCCGGGAAAUACACUAACGCUUUCCCUCUCUUCCUCCGUCCCACUCUAUCUCUAUGUAUCUCUGAGUAAAUCUCUCCCUCUAUUUCUCUAGCCGUCUCUCUGAGAUUGGAGGUCCAUUUGUUCUGGGAAAAUCGAUCUGUCUCACACUCUCUUCUUUUGUACUGCGGCCGAUGGCGGUUGGAAUAUCCCUCCCUUUCCUGCUGUCGUUUCUCAUCUCUUACUCCGUCCCUUUGUUCGUGAAUCCCCGGGUUGGUUAGGGUUUCCGACACCAAACCUUAGAACCCGAGAACCCCAAAAUUGCCUUUUUUUUUUUUAUUGUUUAUUUUUUUCCCGCUGCUUUACGUUAAUCUAUAAUUACCCUUUAACCUCCUUUGGUCCAUCUUGCAAGGGUGAUUGCUUGGGAAUCCCUGAGUUUGUUAGGGUUUCCAAAUCUAAAUCCUAGAAUCUAAGAAUCCCCGUUUCCAAGUAGGUAUCUUUUAUUUCCUUUUGCUGUUGCUUUAUUUAUUUAUUUUUUCUGUUGAAAAUUGAGCACAGACACUCACAGUUUGCUGAUCUUACAUUGUGAUUGCUUGAAUUCUUACUGUACAAAAACCCAGGAGUACACACGGUACACUAUACUGGUGUCAAAAGCAGAACUGAACCGGUCAGACUGAUCGAAGUAAACCCCGACUGGACCUGACCUGACUCCUUAACGAUGUGGCUUCAGUUCGAAGAAUGACAUACUGUUUCGUCUUGGCUCUGUCUGGGCUAGACUCAUGGGUGCCGGUUGGCCCGCCCGACUAUUAGAACCAAACUGAUAUCCACCCUUAACAUUGGUCAAUUACACAGGUUUGAUAAUGCAUCUUCCCUGUUUUAUAGAAUGAUCUAAAGGAAUAGAUGGAACCUGAAUUGACAGGUUCAUUAACAGACUGAGCUAGGGUUUGCAUUCCUAGUUUGUAAAUGUAUAAUUGAGAUAGAAAUACAUCUCUCCCCGUAGCACUAGACUAUUCAAACAGCUCAUUUGACGUUUAAAUUCUGGUCAAAUGAUCAAUAUAGUGAGGUGUACUGUUCUGCAAA